GGGGAUGUCCCGGUUUCGACAGAAAGUUUGAAGUCCGAAGCUUGCGUUCAGGUGGUUGUCUGGUCCCACCUCAAUCCGUCCAGACAAAUUUAAGUGCUAACCCACUUGCUCGACUUGCUCAGGCUCUCCGAAUGGAAGAGGCUUCUCUUGCUUUCGCUCCUGUAGCAUAGUCAACGAUCGCCCUUUGUGCGAUCUCGCUCCCUUCCUAAGGUUUCGUAGGGAAGACGAGUGUCAUACACGAGACUGUGGUGAGGCAGCGCUCGCAUUCCGCUGCUGAUCCAAGAUUUUGGUCUGCGCCUCCGGUCUGUUUUCGUCCGUCCUUGAUGAACCGGUUGUAACCAGGACGGUCUAUGAACGUAGAGGGUUUCGCACUUCCUUUUUGGACGCGGGUUCGACUCCCGCCAUCUCCACCA
rnacentral:tmRNA from 1 species